rnacentral:snRNA from 1 species
GCAUGCCUGUCGGGACCC